GACGUAGGGCGCGAGCGUUGUCCGGAUUUAUUGGGCGUAAAGAGCUCGUAGGCGGCUUGUUGCGUCGGCUGUGAAAACCCGGAGCUCAACCCCGGGCCUGCAUUCGAUACGGGCAGACUAGAGUUCGGUAGGGGAGUCUGGAAUUCCUGGUGUAGCGGUGAAAUGCGCAGAUAUCAGGAGGAACACCGGUGGCGAAGGCGGGACUCUGGGCCGAUACUGACGCUGAGGAGCGAAAGCGUGGGGAGCGAACAGG
rnacentral:rRNA from 1 species